rnacentral:lncRNA from 1 species
GAAAAUACAAAGAGGAAUAAGAGAAAGUCCUAACUGCCAAGAAGCUUAGAGUCUAAUGAAAAGCAGAGACAAUGUUUUUCUACAGUUGGAGGUGAGAGGAUGGAUUGAGAAGGAGUAGCAGAGAUCUCAGCCCCUGGAAACUUGGAUUAAUCAACUGACAUCUGGGUAUUCUUUUGCAGGAAUCCAAGUUUCUUGUAAGGUGGAGGAAGCUCUUCAAAGAAGAAAGGAGUUGGGAAUCCUUAUUCCCCCAGCAAUGAGCAACUGUAGAAACACUCCUCUCACAGACCUGGCAAAUGGCUUCUAGUGUUUUUGGUCCAAACACUACAUCUCCCCAGCUCUGUGUCACAUCUUGGCGCUGCAUAGCCCAGUAGUACCACAUCAUCUCGUGGCACUGAGCCAAGAGCGUGCCCGGCGGCGCUUAGCACCAUACAGGAAGUCUGUGGGGCCCUGCAAGCUCCCUCUACCACACUCCUACUGGAGCAGAGGAGGAGAUUAUCAGGCGGC